UACGAAGGGGGCUAGCGUUGCUCGGAAUCACUGGGCGUAAAGGGUGCGUAGGCGGGUCUUUAAGUCAGGGGUGAAAUCCUGGAGCUCAACUCCAGAACUGCCUUUGAUACUGAGGAUCUUGAGUUCGGGAGAGGUGAGUGGAACUGCGAGUGUAGAGGUGAAAUUCGUAGAUAUUCGCAAGAACACCAGUGGCGAAGGCGGCUCACUGGACCGGCAUUGACGCUGAGGUGCGAAAGCGUGGGGAGCAAACAGG
rnacentral:rRNA from 1 species